AGCUCCAAUAGCGCAUAUUAAAGUUGUUGCAGUUAAAAAGCUCGUAAUUGGAUUUCUGGCAGGAUCGACCGGUCACACACUCUGUAUGUGAACUUGUGUUGUCUCUGGCCAUCCUUGGGGAGAUCCUGUUUGGCAUUAAGUCGUCGGGCAGGGGAUACCUAUCAUUUAAUGUGAAAAAAUUAGAGUGUUUAAAGCAGGCUUAUGCCGUUGAAUAUAUUAGCAUGGAAUAAUAAGAUAGGACUUGGGAACUAUUUUGUUGGUUUGCGUUACGAAGUAAUUAUUAAUAGGGACAGUUGGGGGCAUUCGUAUUUCGUUGUCAGAGGUGAAAUUCUUGGAUUUCCGAAAGACGAAAUACUGCAAAAUUAUUUACCAAGGAUUUUUUCA
rnacentral:rRNA from 1 species